rnacentral:rRNA from 1 species
AUUGAACGCUGGCGGCAGGCUUAACACAUGCAAGUCGGGCGGAGAUGAGGUGCUUGCACCUUAUCUUAGCGGCGGACGGGUGAGUAAUGCUUAGGAAUCUGCCUAUUAGUGGGGGACAACAUUCCGAAAGGAAUGCUCAUACCGCAUACGUCCUACGGGAGAAAGCAGGUGAGCUUCGGACCUUGCGCUAAUAGAUGAGCCUAAGUCGGAUUAGCUAGUUGGUUGGGUAAAGGCCCACCAAGGCGACGAUCUGUAGCGGGUCUGAGAGGAUGAUCAGCCGCACUGGGGCUGAGACACGGCCCAGACUCCUACGGGAGGCAGCAGUGGGGAAUAUUGGACAAUGGGGGGAACCCCGAUCCAGCCAUGCCGCGUGUGUGAAGAAGGCCUUAUGGUUGUAAAGCACUUUAAGCGAGGAGGAGGCUACUGAGACUAAUACUCUUGGAUAGUGGACGUUACUCGCAGAAUAAGCACCGGCUAACUCUGUGCCAGCCGCCGCAGUAACAC